rfam:Malassezia sympodialis ATCC 42132 genomic scaffold, msy_sf_1
UCACCUUCUCUGGCCUUUUGGCUUAGAUCAAGUGUAGUAUCUGUUCUUUACAAGUUAACGCUUGUAACUCCUCCCUCAGGGAGGAUUAUCGUUAACCGUCUUUUUCGACGCGGGAAGCUGUUUGCAGGCUUGCUUGCACAGCUUCGGCUUGUCCUUGGCAAUACACUCACGCCUUGAGACGAGCACCGUAU